GGGAUUUGGGGUGAUCCUAAAGUUGUGUUAGGGCAGCAGACCCCAAAAUGUCCCAAAUUUACCCCAAAAUGUCCCAAAUUUGUCCCAAAUUAUCCAAAAUCAGGCCCAAAAUGUCCAAAAUUUGCCCCAAAUUGUUCCAAAAUGGCAGAAAUUUGACCCCAAAUUGGAGUCCAAAAUCGGAUCGCGGAUGUUGACCCCAAUGGGGAUUUGGGGGGAUCCCAAAGCUGUAUUAGGAUUGGAGACCCCAAAAAGUCCCAAAUUUACCCCAAAAUAUCCCAAGUUUGUCCCAAAUUAUCUGAAUUUGAUCCGAAAUAUUGAAAAUUUGACCCAAAUUGUUCCAAAAUGGCAGAAAUUUGAACCAAAAUUGGAGCCAAAAUCAGAUCGCUGACGUUGACCCCAAUGGGGAUUUGGGGGGAUCCCAAAGCUGUAUUAGGGCUGGAGACCCCAAAAUGUCCCAAAUUUACCCCAAAAUGUCCCAAAUUUGUCCCAAAUUAUCCCAAAUUUGUUCCAAAAUAUCCAAAAUUUGCCCCAAAUUGUUCCAAAAUGGCAGAAAUUUGACCCCAAAUUGGAUCGCUGACGUUGACCCCAAUGGGGAUUUGGGGGGAUCCCAAAGCUGUAUUAGGGCUGGAGACCCCAAAAAGUCCCAAAUUUACCCCAAAAUAUCCCAAAUUUGCCCCAAAUUAUCCAAAAUUUGACCCAAAUUUGCCCAAAUUCCCCAGAAUUGACCCCAAAACUUGACCCCGUGCUUUGAGGCUCUAAAAGCGCUCAAAAUACCCCAAAAUGCCCCAAAAUUGACCCAAAUUUUGGUGUUAAUUUUUUGACACAGCGAGGAUCCUCAAAAAUAUCCAUUUUCCUCACAGAAUUUGCCCAAAUUCCCCAGAAUUUACCCCAAAACUUGACCCCGUGCUUUGAGGCUCUAAAAGUGCUCAAAAUACCCCAAAAUGCCCCAAAAUGGACCCAAAUUUUGCUGUUAAUUUUUUGACACAGCGAGGAUCCCCAAAAAUAUCCAUUUUCCUCACAGAAUUUGCCCAAAUUCCCCAGAAUUUACCCCAAAACUUGACCCCGUGCUUUGAGGCUCUAAAAGCGCUCAAAAAAACCCCAAAACGCCCCAAAAUGGACCCAAAUUUUGGUGGCAAUUUGGGGACAAAACGGAGAUCCCAAAAAUACCCAUUUUCCCCACACAAAUUGCCCAAAUUCCCUCGAAUUUACCCCAAAAAUCCAACCCCCCCCUUUUUCAAACCCCGGAACGCCCCGAAACUCCCCAAAAUUGCCCAUUUUCGGCUUUUUUCCCCCUAUUUAUCCCCUCUCGCCUUUUUGGGGGGGGGAGGGGU
rnacentral:lncRNA from 1 species